rnacentral:rRNA from 1 species
GAUGAACGCUGGCGGCGUGCCUAAUACAUGCAAGUCGAGCGAACAGACGAGGAGCUUGCUCCUCUGACGUUAGCGGCGGACGGGUGAGUAACACGUGGAUAACCUACCUAUAAGACUGGGAUAACUUCGGGAAACCGGAGCUAAUACCGGAUAAUAUAUUGAACCGCAUGGUUCAAUAGUGAAAGACGGUUUUGCUGUCACUUAUAGAUGGAUCCGCGCCGCAUUAGCUAGUUGGUAAGGUAACGGCUUACCAAGGCAACGAUGCGUAGCCGACCUGAGAGGGUGAUCGGCCACACUGGAACUGAGACACGGUACAGACUCCUACGGGAGGCAGCAGUAGGGAAUCUUCCGCAAUGGGCGAAAGCCUGACGGAGCAACGCCGCGUGAGUGAUGAAGGUCUUCGGAUCGUAAAACUCUGUUAUUAGGGAAGAACAAAUGUGUAAGUAACUAUGCACGUCUUGACGGUACCUAAUCAGAAAGCCACGGCUAACUAAGUG